rnacentral:rRNA from 1 species
CCUACGGGUGGCAGCAGUGGGGAAUAUUGCACAAUGGGCGCAAGCCUGAUGCAGCCAUGCCGCGUGUGUGAGGAAGGCCUUCGGGUUGUAAAGCACUUUCAGCGGGGAGGAAGGCGGUGAGGUUAAUAACCUCAUCGAUUGACGUUACCCGCAGAAGAAGCACCGGCUAACUCCGUGCCCAGCAGCCGCGGUAAUACGGAGGGUGCAAGCGUUAAUCGGAAUUACUGGGCGUAAAGCGCACGCAGGCGGUCUGUCAAGUCGGAUGUGAAAUCCCCGGGCUCAACCUGGGAACUGCAUUCGAAACUGGCAGGCUAGAGUCUUGUAGAGGGGGGUAGAAUUCCAGGUGUAGCGGUGAAAUGCGUAGAGAUCUGGAGGAAUACCGGUGGCGAAGGCGGCCCCCUGGACAAAGACUGACGCUCAGGUGCGAAAGCGUGGGGAGCAAACAGGAUUAGAUACCCGUGUAGUC